rnacentral:rRNA from 1 species
AACGAACGCUGGCGGCAGGCCUAACACAUGCAAGUCGAGCGCGCCCUUCGGGGUGAGCGGCGGACGGGUGAGUAACGCGUGGGAACGUGCCCUUUUCUACGGAAUAGCCUCGGGAAACUGAGAGUAAUACCGUAUACGCCCUUUGGGGGAAAGAUUUAUCGGAAAAGGAUCGGCCCGCGUUGGAUUAGGUAGUUGGUGGGGUAAUGGCCUACCAAGCCGACGAUCCAUAGCUGGUUUGAGAGGAUGAUCAGCCACACUGGGACUGAGACACGGCCCAGACUCCUACGGGAGGCAGCAGUGGGGAAUCUUAGACAAUGGGGGCAACCCUGAUCUAGCCAUGCCGCGUGAGUGAUGAAGGCCUUAGGGUUGUAAAGCUCUUUCAGCUGGGAAGAUAAUGACGGUACCAGCAGAAGAAGCCCCGGCGAACUCCGU